UAGGGAAUUUUGGACAAUGGGCGAAAGCCUGAUCCAGCAAUGCCGCGUGUGUGAAGAAGGCCUUCGGGUUGUAAAGCACUUUUGUCCGGAAAGAAAUCCUUGGCUCUAAUACAGUCGGGGGAUGACGGUACCGGAAGAAUAAGCACCGGCUAACUACGUGCCAGCAGCCGCGGUAAUACGUAGGGUGCAAGCGUUAAUCGGAAUUACUGGGCGUAAAGCGUGCGCAGGCGGUUUGCUAAGACCGAUGUGAAAUCCCCGGGCUCAACCUGGGAACUGCAUUGGUGACUGGCAGGCUAGAGUAUGGCAGAGGGGGGUAGAAUUCCACGUGUAGCAGUGAAAUGCGUAGAGAUGUGGAGGAAUACCGAUGGCGAAGGCAGCCCCCUGGGCCAAUACUGACGCUCAUGCACGAAAGCGUGGGGAGCAAACAGGAUUAGAUACCCUGGUAGUCCACGCCCUAAACGAUGUCAACUAGUUGUUGGGGAUUCAUUUCCUUAGUAACGUAGCUAACGCGUGAAGUUGACCGCCUGGGGAGUACGGUCGCAAGAUUAAAACUU
rnacentral:rRNA from 1 species